ensembl:lncRNA NR2F1-AS1 NR2F1 antisense RNA 1
GUCGGCGACCGCUUAGUGACGAGCGAUGAUUUUAAAGAGCAGAAUAAAAGGUUUUCCCGUGCCUGCCCCACAGCCCCUCCAGCUCGAAUAAUGGAGAACUGUCAAUGCACUCCGCGAGCGGUGGCCCAUUGUACGCAGCUGAUGGCGAGGAGGCGACUGGGGGUAGCAGGGGCUCCUUGCCCUCGUCCCUAUGCCCAAAUAAACGCGCAAACGCGCUCCCGUCUUCUGGUCAGUUAAAAGGUGAAACGAACACGAUUAAAAUAGACCAAAAGAAAAGAAAGAAAAGAAAACCUUUCUAUGUACAGAUUCUAAAUCGUACUCCCCAUACAGUCAGAGGCAGGGAGUCGAGGGCAGAGGCAGCAGGCGGAGAGAGGGAGAUAGGGCGAGGGAAGGAGAACGCGGAGAGAGACGAAGGGAGUGGGAGACCAGCGACAGCGAGCGCCAGGGCACCGCAGGCACACUGGAUGCCCAGUCCGCCGGCCCAGCCGCCCUCGGACCCUGGACCGUGCGUCGUGGGCACCAGAAACGAGACUCGGCCAAAUCCUGCCUCACCAGCAGGUAGAUGAAACUCAAGAGAAAAGGUGUGGAUAAAUGAAACUAGCCCAUGAUGAACCUGUUUUCUCCGUGACCACAAUAUUAACCAGGAUGAAUGGCGGUGGCAGUGGGCCUGCAUCACAGGUUGCAGCAGAUGUUCUCAAUAUUUCUAUUAAAAUUUCCUUAUUUCCAUAUGCAAGAGGAGCCCCAGAGCUGCAUCCUUAUGGUAGCUACCAUGCCGUGAUGUAAGCUGCCAUUCACUGGGGAGCUUUGGCAAUAGAAUUGGCUAGAUCAGGAAGCCUAUGUCAACUAUGGAACAACAACUUGCAGCUCAUCUCUAUUGAUGGUGAAACAGUCGCAAAUGGAAUUCCAAGAAACAUUCUAUGUAAGUCCUGGCUUUGAAAUACUUUGUCAUCCUAAGAAGCUUGGACUUUAUCCUGUCAAAGAAAUGACAAAUCAGAUCAUUCCAGCUGCAGUAUGGAGAAUAGAGUGAAGUGGGGUAACACUGGUUUAGUGGCACAAAUUAAGCAUCUACGUAAGAGAGGAUAAUGACCUGAACUAGGGUUAAAGUAGUGGGGAUGGAGAUAAAUAGAUAGUUUGAGAGAAAUUAAGCAGAUAGAAUGACUAGGACUUGGCAGUUGACUGGAUAUGGUGGGCCUGGUGAAUGAGAGGCAGGAGUCAAGAUUGAUGGUCAGGUUUCUGACUUGGGCAGUGGGUAUAUAGUGAUGCUUGUACGAAGAUUGAGAAAGUAAAAGGGAAAGUAAAUAUCAAGCAGUUUCAAGCAGCAGUCAGCUGCUGGGCUGGCUCACCACACUUCUGUAGAUUCCGUUGAAAAGGAGACAAUGAGCCUAGAUAGAUUUAGACAGUUUAUUACUCAAAGCAAAGUAGGCAGCAUGAUCUUCAUGCAUCUAUGAAUUCCCCAAAUCCCAUGAUACAGAGUGAGGCCCAGACAGAUGCUGUGUACACGGUGGACCUGUGUCCUCCCAAUCUUAUAAGAGGCUACUUGCAAACUUGCCCAAAAUCAUUGUCCUGGAGGUUGACAUUAUCUUUGUUAUGCUGGUCAGGAAACAAAUGUACCCUCUAACCCAGAAGCAUAUCCUGUCUUUACUCAGAGACAAAUAAAAACACCAUGGACAAUUACCUUUCAACAGUAAGAGAAUGCUUUCCAUUUUGGACAUAAUGAAUUUGAAAUGCCCAUGAUAUCUAAAUAAAGGUAUUCAGUAGAUAAUAAGCUGUUUUGAAGGAAUAUUUGGUAUAGUGUUUAUAGAAAUGAGAUAAUAAAACAAUAAAAUAUAUAAACUUUGGCUAUGUUAAUAACGUGAUAGUUGCUUGUAAGAUAGUUACAGCAGGUGGUUACUGUGUUGCCUAAUUAAACAUCAUGAUAGAAUCUUAAUAUGUGUAAAAUUUAUAAUUUUAUUCAUCACAAACUGAAUUCACCUAGGCUUAGUCCUCUGCUGCUUUUGAGGUUUGAUGAUCUGCUAACAAUCUCAGAAAAUGAGAGAGUUGUGUGGUGGCAGUAUAUUUAUAACACACUAUGGAACUGGCCUUAUAACUGUGACUUUUGCCUGCUUUUAGUCCAGACCAGCCCUCUUCAAUAGAAAUAAGAUAAAUGCAAACAUCAAAUGUGAGCCACAUACAUAAUUUAAAAAUUUCUAGUAGCCACAUUAAAAAACCUAAAAGGAAGCAAGUGAAAUUAAUUUUUAUAAUAUACUUUAACCCAAUAUAUCGAAAUAUUGUUUCAACAUGUAAUCAACAUAAAAUUAUUAGUGAGAUAUUUUACAUUUUUUUCAUGCUAAAUCUUUGAAAUCCGGUGUGUAUCUUACAUUUACGGCUUAUCUCAAUUUGGACUUGACACAUUGCAAGUGCUCAAUAGCUAUGUGUAGCUAUUGACUACUAUUUUGGACAGUGCAAUUCUAGACCUCAAGAACAAGAAGUUAUAUUUUAUCAUGUAUGAUGAAUAUAGUUUUUCUUUGUAUGUUAGAGGACUAAAUACUGUGGUAUGUUUUUUAUCUUAAACAAUUGAAUACCAAGAAUAGCUAACAUUAUAAUGAAAAAACAAAUGGUCAGUGAAUUUACAUGGUAUUUAAUUUUUUUUUUUUUUUGGAGAUAAUGAGUUUCACUUAAAAUCAGCUAGGUAUUACUGUGUCUAAUAUAGGCAUCUUGGAAGGUAAAUUAGGGCUGUAGGUUGUAUCAUUAGGUCCUUGAGUGUAAACCUCUCCAGGAUUUCACUAAGUGGACCAGGUAGUCAGGUGAUUUAAAUUAUAAUUAAUGUUCAUCCUUUACCCUUGGGAAUAUAUUACGUGUUGGUAGAAUUUGUUCCAUUAUUUUAUAUAAUGAGGUGCCUCAUAAUUUUGUGGCUUGUGAACAAAUGUUCACAUUUGUGAACUUAUUUACCAUGUUGACAAAUGUAUUGGCUUUAUAGUACAGAAGCAUCUCAAAAACCUAAAAGAUUUCUGUUAAGUAAUUUAAUGAAAAACAGACAUUGAUGGGAAAAGUCAGCCAUCCUAGUGCCCUCAAUACAGCAGUUGGAAAUAAUAUACUUUUGAAUGUCUGAAAUAUGUUAGUGGUUUUAGAAAAAGACUAGGUAAGUCAUUUGAGAAACUUAAGAAGACCUAAGAAACUGGCAAUACAUGGUAAUAGCUUACUGAGUUUGCUUUGGGUAAACUCAGUAAGUCAUGGAACUUGCUAUGCAUUUUGGUGGGGAUACCUUUAAUUCUAAUUGGUGAAAUGCAGUCACUUUGAAUUGUAUGUUGAGGGAAUGUUCUCAGGGAAAAGUGAGUUUCUGUGUUGAAUGACUAAGUGAAAGCACUUGACUAUUUGUAAAGCCUGUGGGUAUCUCUUUGAUGUUGAUUAUUAUCUGUGAUUGUUUGUUGAGGGUUUUCUGUUUGUUUUUUAAAACACUUGGGAAAAGCAAAUGGUGAGUGUUACAAUUUAAACAGAUUUUCUUUUAGAGAAUGUUCUGUAGGAAAAGACAAAUAGUUCUACUUGAUCCUUGUUUGUUGAUGCUUUUAUUUGAUUUCAUAUUUAUUGAUACAAACAGCUUUAAACAUUAGAUUAAUUCU